AGUGAACGCUGGCGGUAGGCCUAACACAUGCAAGUCGAACGGCAGCACAGUGAGAGCUUGCUCUUACGGGUGGCGAGUGGCGGACGGGUGAGGAAUACAUCGGAAUCUACUUUUUCGUGGGGGAUAACGUAGGGAAACUUACGCUAAUACCGCAUACGACCUACGGGUGAAAGCAGGGGAUCUUCGGACCUUGCGCGAUUGAAUGAGCCGAUGUCGGAUUAGCUAGUUGGCGGGGUAAAGGCCCACCAAGGCGACGAUCCGUAGCUGGUCUGAGAGGAUGAGCAGCCACACUGGAACUGAGACACGGGCCAGACUCCUACGGGAGGCAGCAGGGGGGAAUAUGGGACAAUGGGCGCAAGCCUGAUCCAGCCAUACCGCGUGGGUGAAGAAGGCCUUCGGGUUGUAAAACCCGUUUGUUGGGAAAGAAAAGCAGCAGGUUAAAACCCCGCUGUUCUGACGGUACCCAAAGAAUAAGCACCGGCUAACUUCGUG
rnacentral:rRNA from 1 species